CCAAUAGCGUAUAUUAAAGUUGUUGCAGUUAAAAAGCUCGUAGUUGAAUUUCGGGAUCAGUACGCUGGUCGUGCCUUCGGUAUGAACUGGUGUCACUGGUUCCUCCCUUCUGAAGAACCGUCAUGCCAUUCAGUUGGUGUGGCGGGAAAUCAGGACUGUUACUUUUAAAAAAUUAGAGUGUUUAAAGCAGGCUCGCGCUUGAAUACAUUAGCAUGGAAUAAUGAAAUAGGACGUUUGACCCUAUUUUGUUGGUUUCUAGGAUCGACGUAAUGAUUAAUAGGGAUAGUUGGGGGCAUUAGUAUUCAAUUGUCAGAGGUGAAAUUCUUGGAUUUAUUGAAGACUAACUACUGCGAAAGCAUUUGCCAAGGAUGUUUUCAUUAAUCAAGAACGAAAGUUAGGGGAUCGAAGACGAUCAGAUACCGUCGUAGUCUUAACCAUAAACUAUGCCGACUAGGGAUCGGAUGAUGUUAAUUUUUUAAUGACUCAUUCGGCGCCUUACG
rnacentral:rRNA from 1 species